rnacentral:lncRNA from 1 species
GAAAAAGAAACAAUAAAGAAUAAAAAAGAAAUCUUUUUUUUUAUUCUUUCUUUCAUAGAUAUAGAGAGAUCUAAUCCGUGUCAUGAUUUAUGAGCUAAUGGAAUGUUUCAUUUUUUUCGUAAUAGAAAACAAUGGGUUGAAAUAUCUAUUGAUAUUGUACAGGAAGUAUUUUAUUGAAGGCUUAAGUUAUUACUCAACAAAUAAAAAUUGAAAUUAUGAACGGG